rnacentral:rRNA from 1 species
GUUUGAUCCUGGCUCAGAACGAACGCUGGCGGCACGCCUAACACAUGCAAGUCGAGCGCACCUUCGGGUGAGCGGCGGACGGGUUAGUAACGCGUGGGAACAUACCCUUCUCUAAGGAAUAGCCACUGGAAACGGUGAGUAAUACCUUAUACGCCCUUCGGGGGAAAGAUUUAUCGGAGAUGGAUUGGCCCGCGUUAGAUUAGAUAGUUGGUGGGGUAAUGGCCUACCAAGUCUACGAUCUAUAGCUGGUUUUAGAGGAUGAUCAGCAACACUGGGACUGAGACACGGCCCAGACUCCUACGGGAGGCAGCAGUGGGGAAUCUUAGACAAUGGGCGCAAGCCUGAUCUAGCGAUGCCGCGUGAGUGACGAAGGCCUUAGGGUCGUAAAGCUCUUUCGCCAGGGAUGAUAAUGACAGUACCUGGUAAAGAAACCCCGGCUAACUCCGUGCCAGCAGCCGCGGUAAUAAGG